CGGCCUCAAGCAUGGCUUGGUGUUGGGUGCCGUCCCGCCCCGCGCGGGACGCUCCCCAAGGCUAUCGGCGGUGCGGUGCCGGUCCUGAGCGUAGCAGAUCUCGCUGCAGGAUCCGGCGGCCGUGUCCGCCGCGAACGAAACCUCCA
rnacentral:misc_RNA from 1 species